UAGAUGAAUGCUCGCUGGUUUGAGCACUUAGCUGUUAACUAAGAGUUUAAAGGAUCGAGGCCUUUUCAUCUAG
rnacentral:tRNA from 1 species